CCAAGCAAUUGAUGUGCACUUGAUGAAUCUGCUUUAAAGAAUGUGUCAUUACAGAUAAGUUGAAUAAAUGAUUAUUUCUACCGUCUGUUUCAACCUAUUUGUCUUGUAUAUUUAUCUCGAUCAAUAAUUGUAACAAACAUGCUCACAUAGGUUGAAACUUGGCUCCCUUUGAAAAUAUACUAAAUCAGAAAUCAAGCAAAAAUGUUUUUUGGACCUCAGACUUUGUUCACCUAUUUGGAGGGAAAAAAAAAAAAAAACGAUGACAUAGGUUAGAAGAUAAUGAAAGUGAAUUUACUCGACAAUUUCACGGUUAAAGUAACCAAGACAACAAUUAUUCCUCAAACCAUGCAAACAUUCUGUGAGAUUGACAAUUACAAACCAAUUACUCCAACACAAGGCAUUAAUGAAAGGUAAAGUCACCUCUUUAUUAAGCUAAUUAUUACAUUCUACUCAAUUAUUCAUGCAAUUGUAUAGAAAUUUGGAAAAUUUGUAAGAGGAUAAG
rnacentral:lncRNA from 1 species